rnacentral:rRNA from 1 species
ACGUACGCUGGCGGCACGCCUAACACAUGCAAGUCGAACGAAGUAGCAAUACUUAGUGGCAGACGGGUGAGUAACAUGUAGGUAUCUGCCCUUUGGCCUGGAAUAACACGAGGAAACUUGUGCUAAUACCGGAUAAGUCUUUACGGAGAAAGCUUUAUGCACCAUUGGAUGAGCCUGCACUUGAUUAGUUUGUUGGUGGGGUAAUGGCCUACCAAGACUGUGAUCAAUAGCUGAUUUGAGAGGAUGAUCAGCCACAUUGGGACUGAGACACGGCCCAAACUCCUACGGGAGGCAGCAGUGGGGAAUCUUGCACAAUGGAGGAAACUCUGAUGCAGCGAUGCCGCGUGAGUGAAGAAGGCCUUUGGGUUGUAAAGCUCUUUCGUCGGGGAAGAAAAUGACUGUACCCGAAUAAGAAGGUCCGGCUAACUUCGUGCCAGCAGCCGCGGUAAUACGAAGGGACCUAGCGUAGUUCGGAAUUACUGGGCUUAAAGAGUUCGUAGGUGGUUGAAAAAGUUGGUGGUGAAAUCCCAGAGCUUAACUCUGGAACUGCCAUCAAAACUUUUCAGCUAGAGUUUGAUAGAGGAAAGCAGAAUUUCUAGUGUAGAGGUGAAAUUCGUAGAUAUUAGAAAGAAUACCAAUUGCGAAGGCAGCUUUCUGGAUCAUUACUGACGCUGAGGAACGAAAGCAUGGGUAGCGAAGAGGAUUAGAUACCCUCGUAGUCCAUGCCGUAAACGAUGUGUGUUAGACGUUGGAAAUUUAUUCUCAGUGUCGCAGCGAAAGCAAUAAACACACCGCCUGGGGAGUACGACCGCAAGGUUAAAACUCAAAUGAAUUGACGGGGACCCGCACAAGUAGUGGAGCAUGUGGUUUAAUUCGAAGAUACGCGCAGAACCUUACCAACACUUGACAUGUUCGUCGCGACUUUAAGAGAUUAAAGUUUUCGGUUCGGCCGGACGAAACACAGGUGCUGCAUGGCUGUCGUCAGCUCGUGUCGUGAGAUGUUGGGUUAAGUCCCGCAACGAGCGCAACCCUCACUUUUAGUUGCCAUCAUUAAGUUGGGCACUCUGAAAGAACUGCCAGUGAUAAGCUGGAGGAAGGUGGGGAUGACGUCAAGUCCUCAUGGCCCUUACGUGUUGGGCUACACACGUGCUACAAUGGUAUCUACAACAGGAAGCAAAACGGCGACGUUAAGCAAAUCCCUAAAAGAUACCUCAGUUCGGAUUGCACUCUGCAACUCGAGUGCAUGAAGCUGGAAUUACUAGUAAUCGUGGAUCAGCGUGCCACGGUGAAUGCGUUCCCGGGUCUUGUACUCACCGCCCGUCAAGGG